AGAAGAUCUUCCUCCUUUGGCGGAUGAAUACUCAUUACGUUAGAAAAGAGCUUAUGUAUAUCGUCGUCUACAGAACGUUUAGUUGCUCUUAAUCCCUCCGUUAGUCUUUUCAGAGAAAGAGGCAACUUCGCAAGGCGGCCCAAAUUGGGAAGAAUCAUGGUAAAUUUCUCUUUUUCUUUUGACCCUGUUUCAACUUUGUUUCGACCACAGAUCAAGACAAUAGGUCCUGAUAAUUGGUCAAACAUUUCUUGCACCUUGUGCACAAAUUCUUUUCUAUUUGCCUUGGAAACAGCUCUAG
rnacentral:misc_RNA from 1 species